GACGAACGCUGGCGGCGUGCUUAACACAUGCAAGUCGAACGGAAAGGCCCUGCUUUUGUGGGGUGCUCGAGUGGCGAACGGGUGAGUAACACGUGAGUAACCUGCCCUUGACUUUGGGAUAACUUCAGGAAACUGGGGCUAAUACCGGAUAGGAGCUCCUGCUGCAUGGUGGGGGUUGGAAAGUUUCGGCGGUUGGGGAUGGACUCGCGGCUUAUCAGCUUGUUGGUGGGGUAGUGGCUUACCAAGGCUUUGACGGGUAGCCGGCCUGAGAGGGUGACCGGCCACAUUGGGACUGAGAUAAGGCCCAGACUCCUACGGGAGGCAGGAGUGGGGAAGAUUGCACAAUGGGCGGAAGCCUGAUGCAGCAACGCCGCGUGCGGGAUGACGGCCUUCGGGUUGUAAACCGCUUUCGCCUGUGACGAAGCGUGAGUGACGGUAAUGGGUAAAGAAGCACCGGCUAACUACGUG
rnacentral:rRNA from 1 species